rnacentral:lncRNA from 11 species
UGAAGGGGUCACAUAGCCCAAAGUGACUCCAUUUUAGAAUUGCCUGUCUGCUUUGAAAUGGAGGAUCAGUCUCCCCUCUAAAUUAUAAAGAAUUGCAACUUGCUGUUUUUGCAGCAUGUGUCUAAGUUUAGCAAUAAUCAGUUUCGGUUGUACUUGCGGUUAGGGUAAUUCCGAGAAUUGUAUGCAACAUAUAUACGCUAUGCUUGCACCUGCUGAAACCUUGCGGUUAGAACAUCCUGGACUUGUUGACAACGCAGGAAACUCUAGCUCACCACAAACUGAUCUGGGGGAUUUCCAGUAAAUUCCAGUCCAGAAAGAGGAACUAAAAUCUGUAAACAACUGCCCUAUAAAUUGGCCGAGGUGGGAACACUCUUGGCCGACAGCUUUUGCCAGCCACACACUGCUGUGUGACUCUGUCUGCCGGUAGCUACCAAUAAAGGUGUUUUGUCCUCAACGAAUUUUGGGCUCUUUAAUGGUCUCAUAGCGGCUUGGCGA